CAACUCCCAAUAGUUUAUCAAGUUUUAUUAAUUUGAAAUCGAUGUCUCCAUAUGCUUGCGAGAAAGUACAAAAUCGAAUUAACAUUUGAAAUAUUUACUAUGGUUACAUAUGUGACAAAUAAUGCAACACAUAAAAAAGAGUGAAAUUAUAAAUACAAAAAGAAAUCAUAUACACAAAGAAAAAAGUGCCAUUAAAAAUAUUAGUGAAGAAAAGACAUUGGCAAACCGACUUCCAAAAGGGCUGGAAAUUAAAAAAAGUCUCAUUCCAAAUGCUGGUUAUGGUGUAUUUGCCACUGAAUUGAUUCAGAUUGGUAGGAAAUUUGGUCCAUUUGAAGGAAAAAAAGUUUCACCAGACACUCUAGUUGAUAGUCUUGACACCCGUUACAUGUGGGAAGUA
rnacentral:lncRNA from 1 species